rnacentral:rRNA from 1 species
GCUGGCGACCGGCGCACGGGUGAGUAACACGUAUCCAACCUGCCUCAUACUCGGGGAUAGCCUUUCGAAAGAAAGAUUAAUAUCCGAUAGCAUAUAUUUCCCGCAUGGGUUUUAUAUUAAAGAAAUUCGGUAUGAGAUGGGGAUGCGUUCCAUUAGUUUGUUGGGGGGGUAACGGCCCACCAAGACUACGAUGGAUAGGGGUUCUGAGAGGAAGGUCCCCCACAUUGGAACUGAGACACGGUCCAAACUCCUACGGGAGGCAGCAGUGAGGAAUAUUGGUCAAUGGACGCGAGUCUGAACCAGCCAAGUAGCGUGAAGGAUGACUGCCCUAUGGGUUGUAAACUUCUUUUAUAUGGGAAUAAAGUUGUCCACGUGUGGAUUUUUGUAUGUACCAUAUGAAUAAGGAUCGGCUAACUCCGUGCCAGCAGCCGCGGUAAUACGGAGGAUCCGAGCGUUAUCCGGAUUUAUUGGGUUUAAAGGGAGCGUAGGCGGAUUGUUAAGUCAGUUGUGAAAGUUUGCGGCUCAACCGUAAAAUUGCAGUUGAUACUGGCAGUCUUGAGUGCAGUAGAGGUGGGCGGAAUUCGUGGUGUAGCGGUGAAAUGCUUAGAUAUCACGAAGAACUCCGAUUGCGAAGGCAGCUCACUGGAGUGUAACUGACGCUGAUGCU